GCGAGUGAAGCGGGAAGAGCUCAAUUUGAAAAUCGACUACCUAAGCGGGUCGUCGAGUUGUAGCCUAGAGACGUACUAUCAGCUGAAACCUGGGUAUAAGUUCUUUGGAAUGAGGCAUCAUAGAGGGUGAGAAUCCCGUAUAUGACCCAAAGCUUUCAGCGUACGAUGUAUGUUCAUCGAGUCGAGUUGUUUGGGAUUGCAGCUCUUAAUGGGUGGUAAGCUUCAUCUAAAGCUAAAUAAUGGCGAGAGACCGAUAGCGGACAAGUACCGUGAGGGAAAGAUGAAAAGAACUUUGAAAAGAGAGUUAAAAGUACUUGAAAUUGCUAAGAGGGAAGCGCUGGCAACCAGUGUUUUUCGUCGUUCAUCGCUGUCAGCCCCACUGGAUAGCGCGAGUAGUUGGAAACUCUGCUUGCGACAUCGAAAGGGAGGUUGGCGGUUUAGGACGGCGGAUGAGUCAAGAUUCAUUCGAACUGUGGAAGAAGGUAGCGAGAAAGGUAGGUGACUCUCGGGUCACUGUUAUAGUCUUGUUACUCUACCUCGGCUUGGAUGGAGGAAGUAAUAGUGCGCUGCUUGCGGCUUAGUCCCGUGCUCCUGCAAUCCCAGUCGCUCUGAUAGCAAUGCUAUCCUUGUGAUGAAGCGGUUGUACUGGGUACGGUGACUCUAUGUGCUAUCACGA
rnacentral:rRNA from 1 species